UGGUUCUGGCAUCGAUGAAGAACGCAGCGAAAUGCGAUAAGUAAUGUGAAUUGCAGAAUUCAGUGAAUCAUCGAAUCUUUGAACGCACAUUGCGCCCGCCAGUAUUCUGGCGGGCAUGCCUGUUCGAGCGUCAUUUCAACCCUCAAGCCCCAGUGGCUUGGUGUUGGGGACCGGCGACCUCGCCUGCACCUGGUGCAAGCGUCCGCCGCCCCCGAAAUGAAUUGGCGGCCUCGUCGCGGCCUCCUCUGCGUAGUAGCACAACCUCGCAACAGGAGCGCGACGCGGCCACUGCCGUAAAACGCCCAACUUUUUUAGAGUUGACCUCGGAUCAGGUAGGAAUACCCGCUGA
rnacentral:misc_RNA from 1 species